rnacentral:rRNA from 1 species
UAAGGAAUAUUGGUCAAUGGACGCAAGUCUGAACCAGUCAUGCCGCGUGAAGGAAGACGGCCCUACGGGUUGUAAACUUCUUUUGUACGGGAAAAAACCACCGGUCGAGCAUCGGUGCUGAUGGUACCGUAAGAAUAAGCAUCGGCUAACUCCGUGCCAGCAGCCGCGGGAAUACGGAGGAUGCAAGCGUUAUCCGGAUUCAUUGGGUUUAAAGGGUGCGCAGGCGGAAUGAUAAGUCAGUGGUGAAAUCCUACAGCUCAACGGUAGAACUGCCAUUGAUACUGUGGUUCUUGAGUACACUUGGAGUGGGCGGAAUGUGUCAUGUAGCGGUGAAAUGCUUAGAUAUGACACAGAACACCGAUCGCGAAGGCAGCUCACUAAAUUGUAACUGACGCUCAUGCACGAAAGCGUGGGGAUCAAACA